CCCAUUCGGGAUGACGCUGGUUCCUGUUCUUAGAGCAGGUGAAAAGGGAAUGCGAAAGGGGUUGGAUGACAACCCCGAAAACGCAGCCGCCCCCGCGACCGUGACCGGAGAGGUCCGCCACAGCCACUGGAGACAUCCGGGAAGGCAGGUGGGCCGCAGACGCCAAAAGCGUCGAGAUCCGCAAGCCGGGAGACCUGCCAGCGCGAGUGACAUGAA
rnacentral:ncRNA from 2 species